rnacentral:rRNA from 1 species
GGAUUCCCCUAGUAACGGCGAGUGAAGCGGGAAGAGCUCAAAUUUGAAAUCUGGCAGUCUUCGAUUGUCCGAGUUGUAAUCUAUAGAGGCGUUUUCCGUGCCGGACCGUGUCCAAGUCUCCUGGAAAGGAGUAUCAAAGAGGGUGAUAAUCCCGUACUUAACACGACCACCGGUGCUCUGUGAUACGUCUUCUACGAGUCGAGUUGUUUGGGAAUGCAGCUCAAAAUGGGUGGUGAAUUCCAUCUAAAGCUAAAUAUUGGCGAGAGACCGAUAGCGAACAAGUACCGUGAGGGAAAGAUGAAAAGCACUUUGGAAAGAGAGUUAAACAGUACGUGAAAUUGUUGAAAGGGAAACGAUUGAAGUCAGUCGUGUUCUUUGGAUUCAGCCAGUUCUGCUGGUCUACUUCCUUGGAACGGGUCAACAUCAGUUUUGUCCGGUGGAUAAAGGUAGUAGGAAUGUGACUUCUCCGGAAGUGUUAUAGCCUAUUAUCACAUACACUGGGUGAGACUGAGGACUGCAGCUCGCCUUUAUGGCCGGCCUUCGGGCACGUUCGAGCUUAGGAUGUUGACAUA